AGCUUGAAAAGCAGCCCACAGCAGGCUGAGCACUGGAGCAAUUAAAUAAAUGUCCACUUCCAGAAAGAAUUUAUUUAAAAAAAAAAAAAAAGGAAUGAAGAAAAAAGAAAACACUGAGCCCAUCUAAAAGUCAAGGGAAAGAAACCCCAGUCCUGCCCCGUUCCGCUCCCCGCCUUGCUCCGUCCUUAUCACCGCCGUGGAGGAUUUGACGCUCAUCUCCUCCUAACAGCAGAGUUCCUGAUCCAGCAGCAGCAAAACCGAAUCAAUCGGUUCCCAAAAGCCAGGGUGGUGAGAAGAAAGGCAGCCCUGCCCCUGGCAUGUGGAACCAAUCCAUACCUUAAGCAGAAAAAUAUUGAUAAGGUGGCUGCCGCAGACAUAUUUAUGUCCUUCCUUAUACGUGCCACGAGCAGAGAGUUUCUCCCCCCUGCCUGGCCCUGAGCAGAGCGUUAUUUUAAAUUGUGCAAAAUCGCCUCGCUUGCUCGGGGAGGCAAAGCACAGUCUAUUUUUACCAUCUCAUGAUUUUGCCAUCGCUCCAUCCCGAGGAGGGAUCGAGUUUCCUGGACAUCGUGGGCUCCGCUCGCGGGAGAUUCCUUCGCUCGGUCCUUAUAAGGCACCAGAGAUUCGUCCCCGCCAGCACCGCGAGUCCCCCCUGCCGCGCUCGGGUGAUGGAUCACGCUGGAAGGACAGCGAGAGGAAGAAAAAAAGGAAGGGAAGGAGGAUGGGAAGCCUUGGGGCUGGAGAUUAACAAGUGAAAAAGACAAGGCGGGGGGGGGGAAGGUUGGAGAGAGGCAUUAGGAGAAAUUACAGGCAUGGAAAUCGAGGAGUGUAAUCGAAACCAGACUGGGACACUUUGACAGUAAUGGAAAUCAGGUUUGGGGGAGUUUGGGGAACGUCAUGUCCCUCCUGCCCUGGAGACCUGCAGUUGGGGUGCUUGGAGCCUUCGCCCCAUGCUGGACACCAGCCUGCGAGGCUGCAGCCCCCCACACCACCCCUCCCAUGUUUCCAAGCCACCACCGAGGACACCCAGGAGCCAAAAUCAACCUGUGAUCUCUGCUCGGGACCCGCAGGCAGCACCAGGGGAGCUCCCUGGCCUCAACCCACAGCUCCUGGCCACGCACCCCCACGUCUUCCCAAGCCCUCCUGCCCUCCUCGCUGCUGCGCACCGUCCCCAGCACCAACGGUCCAUCUCUGCGUGAUCCGCCCGGAUUUGUACCACCAACACCGACAGGUUGCGGCGGUACCGGCAGCUUGCAGAUGAGCCGUUCACCACCGUGCUCUCAAGGCAAAACCAGCCCUGCUGGAGGCCAGCGCUGUGCCAGUCCCUGUGGCAUCGUCCCACCGUGGCCGAGCAGGAGCUGGAGCAUCACCAAGACACAAUUUUGGAUCUCCCAAUGGCCACGAGCUGUCCCAGGAGCGUGGCCAGCCGUGCUCGUACGCGGAGCUGAUUGUGGGUGGAUGUAGCUCUCGGUACAACUUGGAGGACAUCACUGGCUGCUGUCCUGCAACCCCCACCGGCAGCCAAAAGGACGAUCCCAGAGCAAAUAAACCCCUGGAGCCUUUGGUUUUAAUUCA
ensembl:lncRNA